UUGAUUGUAACACUGACACAGAAAUUCUGAAAAUUUCUGAUUUAUUGCAUCAAAUUGCAUAAUAAAUUGCAAUCAGAAUAAAACAUCAAAACAUUCAGUUCAAGUUGGAACUUUAUAUGGUUAGUUGUUGAUGCAAUGUCGUCCCGAAAGGUCCUUAUUGUACUUUUGUGCAUUUAUUGUGUUUUGUGUUUAUUUGUAAUGGUAUCAAGUGAAGAAAAUGUGGAUUCUUCUGAAAAAGAAAUGUCUGGAAUGUAUGAGCCACGAAGAAGAAAGAAACAUACGAAAUAUUUUGUGCCGUUGUUAACAGCUGCGCUGUUAAUUAAAUCAGUUUUGUUUCCGUUGGCUUUCAAAUCGAUGGCGAUAAUGGCGGGCAUUUCUAUUAUCUUAAGCACGCUGAGUUUGUUGGUUUCAAGCAUGGUUGGGUUUGCAAAAACAGCAAAAGAUUCUUAUCAGCAUUAUGCUUUAAGAAGAACACAACAAACUGCAAAUGAAAAAAUUCAAGAAGCAGAGGUUAAUAAGGAAGACUAUACGAUUCAAAAUGGCGGAAAUGUGGCAGUUGGAACACCACAACUUGGAAAUCGGAUUAUUUUGAGUCCUAAAUUGAAAACUUUUAAUGCUUACGGAUAUAAACAUCCAAAUUAUAUUUAAUUAAAAAAAUCAAAUUAUUUAAAUGAUAUUAGUUGGAAUAUAUGUUUAAAAUGGUAAAAUGAAUAAAUUAUUUAUUG